rnacentral:rRNA from 1 species
GAUGAACGCUAGCGGCAGGCUUAACACAUGCAAGUCGAGGGGUAGGAGAAGCUUGCUUUUCUGAGACCGGCGCACGGGUGCGUAACGCGUAUGCAAUCUACCUUUCACAGAGGGAUAGCCCAGAGAAAUUUGGAUUAAUACCUCAUAGUAAUACGCCUUGGCAUCAAGAUGUAUUUAAAGAUUUAUCGGUGAAAGAUGAGCAUGCGUCCCAUUAGCUAGUUGGUAUGGUAACGGCAUACCAAGGCAACGAUGGGUAGGGGUCCUGAGAGGGAGAUCCCCCACACUGGUACUGAGACACGGACCAGACUCCUACGGGAGGCAGCAGUGAGGAAUAUUGGACAAUGGGCGCAAGCCUGAUCCAGCCAUGCCGCGUGCAGGAUGACGGUCCUAUGGAUUGUAAACUGCUUUUAUACAGGAAGAAACACUCCCUCGUGAGGGAGCUUGACGGUACUGUAAGAAUAAGGAUCGGCUAACUCCGUGCCAGCAGCCGCGGUAAUACGGAGGAUCCAAGCGUUAUCCGGAAUCAUUGGGUUUAAAGGGUCCGUAGGCGGUCAGGUAAGUCAGUGGUGAAAGCCCAUCGCUCAACGGUGGAACGGCCAUUGAUACUGUCUGACUUGAAUUAUUAGGAAGUAACUAGAAUAUGUAGUGUAGCGGUGAAAUGCUUAGAGAUUACAUGGAAUACCAAUUGCGAAGGCAGGUUACUACUAAUUGAUUGACGCUGAUGGACGAAAGCGUGGGUAGCGAACAGGAUUAGAUACCCUGGUAGUCCACGCCGUAAACGAUGGAUACUAGCUGUUGGGAGCAAUCUCAGUGGCUAAGCGAAAGUGAUAAGUAUCCCACCUGGGGAGUACGAACGCAAGUUUGAAACUCAAAGGAAUUGACGGGGGCCCGCACAAGCGGUGGAGCAUGUGGUUUAAUUCGAUGAUACGCGAGGAACCUUACCAAGGCUUAAAUGUAGUUUGACCGGUUGGAAACAG